GGUAUAGCUCAGUUGGUUAGAGCGCCAGAUUGUGGCUCUGGAGGUCGUGAGUUCGAGACUCAUUAUC
rnacentral:tRNA from 1 species